rnacentral:rRNA from 1 species
AGUUUGACUGGGGCGGUCUCCUCCCAAAGAGUAACGGAGGAGCACGAAGGUUAGCUAAUCCUGGUCGGACAUCAGGAGGUUAGUGCAAUGGCAUAAGCUAGCUUGACUGCGAGAGUGACGGCUCGAGCAGGUGCGAAAGCAGGUCAUAGUGAUCCGGUGGUUCUGAAUGGAAGGGCCAUCGCUCAACGGAUAAAAGGUACUCCGGGGAUAACAGGCUGAUACCGCCCAAGAGUUCAUAUCGACGGCGGUGUUUGGCACCUCGAUGUCGGCUCAUCACAUCCUGGGGCUGAAGUAGGUCCCAAGGGUAUGGCUGUUCGCCAUUUAAAGUGGUACGCGAGCUGGGUUUAGAACGUCGUGAGACAGUUCGGUCCCUAUCUGCCGUGGGCGCUGGAGAAUUGAGGGGGGCUGCUCCUAGUACGAGAGGACCGGAGUGGACGCAUCACUGGUGUUCGGGUUGUCAUGCCAAUGGCACUGCCCGGUAGCUAAAUGCGGAAAAGAUAAGUGCUGAAAGCAUCUAAGCACGAAACUUGCCCCGAGAUGAGUUCUCCCUGACUCCUUGAGAGUCCUGAAGGAACGUUGAAGACGACGACGUUGAUAGGUCGGGUGUGUAAGCGCAGCGAUGCGUUGAGCUAACCGAUACUAAUGAACCGUGAGGCUUAACCUUACAACGCCGAAG